rnacentral:rRNA from 1 species
GCAGUGUACCCGCGGCAAGACGGAAAGACCCCGUGAACCUUUACUAUAGCUUGACACUGAACAUUGAGCCUUGAUGUGUAGGAUAGGUGGGAGGCUUUGAAGCGUGGACGCCAGUCUGCGUGGAGCCGACCUUGAAAUACCACCCUUUAAUGUUUGAUGUUCUAACGUGGACCCGUUACCCGGGUUGCGGACAGUGUCUGGUGGGUAGUUUGACUGGGGCGGUCUCCUCCUAAAGAGUAACGGAGGAGCACGAAGGUUGGCUAAUCCUGGUCGGACAUCAGGAGGUUAGUGCAAUGGCAUAAGCCAGCUUGACUGCGAGCGUGACGGCGCGAGCAGGUGCGAAAGCAGGUCAUAGUGAUCCGGUGGUUCUGAAUGGAAGGGCCAUCGCUCAACGGAUAAAAGGUACUCCGGGGAUAACAGGCUGAUACCGCCCAAGAGUUCAUAUCGACGGCGGUGUUUGGCACCUCGAUGUCGGCUCAUCACAUCCUGGGGCUGAAGUAGGUCCCAAGGGUAUGGCUGUUCGCCAUUUAAAGUGGUACGCGAGCUGGGUUUAGAACGUCGUGAGACAGUUCGGUCCCUAUCUGCCGUGGGCGCUGGAGAACUGAGGGGGGCUGCUCCUAGUACGAGAGGACCGGAGUGGACGCAUCACUGGUGUUCGGGUUGUCAUGCCAAUGGCACUGCCCGGUAGCUAAAUGCGGAAGAGAUAAGUGCUGAAAGCAUCUAAGCACGAAACUUGCCCCGAGAUGAGUUCUCCCUGAGACUUAGAGUCUCCUGAAGGAACGUUGAAGACGACGACGUUGAUAGGCCGGGUGUGUAAGCGCAGCGAUGCGUUGAGCUAACCGGUACUAAUGAACCGUGAGGCUUAACCUU